GCUCCAGUGCGUCUGCCUUGUAAGCACUAGGCCGCGGGUUCGAUUCCCGCCCGGGGCA
rnacentral:tRNA from 1 species